AUUGAACGCUGGCGACAGGCCUAAACCAUGCACGUCGAACGACUGGCGGACGGGUGAGUAAUGUCUGGGAACCUGCCUGAUGGCGGGGGAUAACUCCUGGAACCGGUAGCUAAUACCGCCUACCAUCGGAUGUGCCCAGAUGGGAUUCGCUAGUAGGUGGGGUAAAGGCUCACCUAGCCGACGAUCCCUAGCUGGUCUGAGAGGAUGACCAGCCACACUGGAACUGAGACACGGUCCAGACUCCUACGUGAGGCAGCAGUGGGGAAUAGUGCACAAGGGGCGCAAGCCUGGUGCAGCCAUGCCGCGUGUAUGAAGAAGGCCUUCGGGUUGUAAAGUACUUUCAGCGGGGAGGCGUUACCCGCAGAAGAAGCACCGGCUAACUCCGUGCCAGCAGCCGCGGUAAUUC
rnacentral:rRNA from 1 species